AAUGCAGUCGAGCGGACAGAAGGGAGCUUGCUCCCGGAUGUUAGCGGCGGACGGGUGAGUAACACGUGGGUAACCUGCCUGUAAGACUGGGAUAACUCCGGGAAACCGGAGCUAAUACCGGAUAGUUCCUUGAACCGCAUGGUUCAAGGAUGAAAGACGGUUUCGGCUGUCACUUACAGAUGGACCCGCGGCGCAUUAGCUAGUUGGUGAGGUAACGGCUCACCAAGGCGACGAUGCGUAGCCGACCUGAGAGGGUGAUCGGCCACACUGGGACUGAGACACGGCCCAGACUCCUACGGGAGGCAGCAGUAGGGAAUCUUCCGCAAUGGACGAAAGUCUGACGGAGCAACGCCGCGUGAGUGAUGAAGGUUUUCGGAUCGUAAAGCUCUGUUGUUAGGGAAGAACAAGUGCAAGAGUAACUGCUUGCACCUUGACGGUACCUAACCAGAAAGCCACGGCUAACUACGUGCCAGCAGCCGCGGUAAUACGUAGGUGGCAAGCGUUGUCCGGAAUUAUUGGGCGUAAAGGGCUCGCAGGCGGUUUCUUAAGUCUGAUGUGAAAGCCCCCGGCUCAACCGGGGAGGGUCAUUGAAA
rnacentral:rRNA from 1 species